rnacentral:rRNA from 1 species
UACGGUAGGGUGCAAGCGUUGUCCGGAAUUAUUGGGCGUAAAGAGCUCGUAGGCGGUCUGUCGCGUCUGCUGUGAAAACUCGGGGCUUAACCCCGGGCCUGCAGUGGGUACGGGCAGACUAGAGUGCGGUAGGGGAGACUGGAAUUCCUGGUGUAGCGGUGAAAUGCGCAGAUAUCAGGAAGAACACCCGUGGCCUAAGGCGGCUCUCUAGUACGGUACUGACGCUGAGACGCGAAAAGCGUGGGGAGCGAACAGGG